UCUCCUGGGAAACGGGUGGUAAUGCCGGAUGCUCCAGUUGAUCGCAUGGUCUUCUGGGAAAGCUUUCGCGGUAUGGGAUGGGGUCGCGUCCUAUCAGCUUGACGGCGGGGUAACGGCCCACCGUGGCUUCGACGGGUAGCCGGCCUGAGAGGGCGACCGGCCACAUUGGGACUGAGAUACGGCCCAGACUCCUACGGGAGGCAGCAGUGGGGAAUAUUGCACAAUGGGCGCAAGCCUGAUGCAGCGACGCCGCGUGAGGGAUGGAGGCCUUCGGGUUGUAAACCUCUUUUAUCGGGGAGCAAGCGAGAGUGAGUUUACCCGUUGAAUAAGCACCGGCUAACUACGUGCCAGCAGCCGCGGUAAUACGUAGGGUGCAAGCGUUAUCCGGAAUUAUUGGGCGUAAAGGGCUCGUAGGCGGUUCGUCGCGUCCGGUGUGAAAGUCCAUCGCUUAACGGUGGAUCCGCGCCGGGUACGGGCGGGCUUGAGUGCGGUAGGGGAGACUGGAAUUCCCGGUGUAACGGUGGAAUGUGUAGAUAUCGG
rnacentral:rRNA from 1 species